rnacentral:lncRNA from 1 species
GCCUGGCCGGCGAUUAGAAUUAUCAGUUUUUAAUUGAAAAUGGUAGUUUUUCGAUCUUUUGAUGGGAUGUGCUGAGAACUCUUCUGUUGAGGUUUCCGUUUGUGUGCUGGAAAUUUGGGGCAUGAUAGGAAUUUUUGGGAAAUCCCUCAAAUAUUAAUUUAAUGUAUUAAUGGCCAGGCUGAGAGUUGUUUAAUGGACCCUUUUGCAUGUUAAAGGGUGUUCCGGUAGUACAGUAAAUGUAUGUGUUUUUCGAUCCUGGGGCUUUGAAGAAGUGACAAUAGAAGUACAUUUAUUUAGUAGAUUAGAAAUAAUACAUUUGGCAGAUUUAUUUAGAAGUUCUAUAUUUGACGUUUAACCAUUUGAUAUUGUGACAAAAUUUAAGGAAGAUUGCAGUGUGUUUAUCCAGGCAAAUGAUUUGUUAUUGAAG